rnacentral:lncRNA from 1 species
GCCUCUCAGUCCCAUCCCUGCACGAAGCAUCCCUCAGGCCUUCCCGGCACACUCUCCCCAGUCCCCCUGCCUUCCCUCACUCCCCAGUGUCCUCUGCUUCUGGCAGCUAUGGGACCCCCGCCCCUGGCUUCUCCUCCAUGCUGUACGGAAUGAAGAUCGCUAAUCUGGCCUUCGUCACCAAGACUCGGGUCAGGUUCUUCAAACUGGACCGCUGGGCUGAUGUGCAACUACCAGAAAAGCGGCGGAUAAAGCCAGGGUCGAGCAUCAGCAAACAGCACAGAUCCCUGCUGGCCAGAAUCUUCCAUGACAGGGCUGAGUAUCUUCAUGGAAAGCAUGGGGUGGAUGUGGAGGUCCAGGGGCCCCAUGAAGCCCGGGAUGGGCAGCUCCUUAU